GACGAACCGUGCGAACGUUGUUCGGAAUCACUGGGCUUAAAGGGCGCGUAGGCGGGCGGCCGCGUCCGGGGUGAAAUACCACGGCUCAACCGUGGAACGGCCUCGGAUACGGGCGGCCUCGAGGGAGGUAGGGGCAUCGGGAACUGUGAGUGGAGCGGUGAAAUGCGUUGAUAUUCACAGGAACACCGGUGGCGAAGGCGGCUUCCUGGACCGACACUGACGCUGAGGCGCGAAAGCUAGGGGAGCAAACGGG
rnacentral:rRNA from 1 species